rnacentral:rRNA from 1 species
AGUGAACGCUGGCGGCAUGCCUAACACAUGCAAGUCGAACGGCAACACAGUAAGAGCUUGCGCUGACGGGUGGCGAGUGGCGUAAGGGAGAGGAAUAUAUCCGGACCUGCUUUUUCGUGGGGCUUAAGGUAGGGAAACUUACGCUAAUAUCGCAUACGACCUACGGGGGAAAGCAGGGGAUCUUCGGACCGGGCGCGAUUGAAUGAGCCGAUGUCGGAUUAGCUAGUUGGCGGGGUAAAGGCCAACCAAGGCGACGAUCCGUAGCUGGUCUGAGAGGAGGAUCAGCGACACUGGAACUGAGACACGGCCCAGACUCCUACGGGAGGCAGCAGUGGGGAAUGUUGGACAAUAGGCGGAAGCCUGAUCCAGCAAUCCCGCGUGUGUGAAGAAGGCCUUCGGGUUGUAAAGCCCUUUUGUUGGGAAAGAAAAGCAGCAGGCUAAUACCCCGCGGUUCUGACGGUACCGAAAGAAUAAGCACCGGCUAACUACGUG